GACCUUCAAUUCGUUCUGCAGAGCCUCGGGGCUUUCCCUUGGGUUGUGCUGGCGCUCGGUGAUUGGUUGCCCUGCGGUUUCUUCCGGUGCGCUGGCGAGAGGGCCGUCCCCUUCCUAACAUUCCAACCUCUUAUUGGUGAUAAUGGGCGAGGGCUCUGAUCUGGCUGCUUCCAGCAGAUAUAAGGGAGGCGCCAUAGCAUGUGGGGGUCUGAGGUUGGAAUGCGCGAGUAGCGCAAGACCGCCGUCUGAUGAAAUGCCACCUGGGAAACUUCAUGAAUUCGUUUCCCUACGAAACGGAGAAAACAAGCAAGGAAUGAUUAAAGUUGAGCUGAUGUCAACGUGUGCUGGGCACCCUGGGACCCAAGUCUCAAAGUGAAACAUAUCCAAGUUCAAAUAAUCCAACCAGCUUCCAGCUUGUUUCUGCAGUGGAGAAAUAGUGCAUUUUGACACCAGCUCUUCAUUUGAUAAUCACUUCCAGAAUUCCCCUUAUCAAAGACGCAGAAGAUAGGACUUGACAUUCUGACCUGCCCUUAAGUGUUAACUUGAACGAUAAAUGGCUCAAAUUCUAGAUCCUCUUGAACUCCAGUAAGGAGGAUGCUCACCUUGAAUUAUGGCCAAGAGAAUGACAAUCACGAAGAAGAAGAAGGUGAUGUCAAAGAUGAUUCGAUAGAUCUCAUAUUCGUCACCUGCUGGGUCUUCGAUUUCAUCGCCGAUACCCCCUCCGGCACGUACCCCGACAUACAUGUGGAACAUGUAGCACUGGAAAAGACAGACACAGUUACUUCCUGGAGAUGCUGCCCAUCUGCACAUUGAACAAAGUUGAGGCUCUCUCUGUAGUUGCUAAUCCUCACUCUGGAAACUGACCAUCUCUGCCUUCUACAUUGCCUCUUUUUGUUUCAGUGUUUGUGAUUAUGAUGCAAACACGUGGCUCUUACACUCUGCUGUCCUUUGAACAAAACUCGACACGACACUCUGCCUCGCACCUUCUGUCACACUUUGCAGGGGAUGAAAAAUACCUCACUAGCAUCUGGCAUAAGAACAGACAUAGGAGAGAGAAAGGAAAACCUCAAUAUUUAAUAAGACGGAAUCUCAGAAAUUAAGCUAGGAAAACACCGGACCCGAUAACGCCAUCCCCUCAUCCGUCAUGUAUGGAAUACGAUGCUGAAAUGUUUCUACUCUAAUGUGUACAAGAAAGAAGACAGAGGGGAGAAGCAAGGAGGAAAUAACAGCUCAUUGUUAAGAAUCUGAAACAUUAAAGCAACCAAUUAGAAGGAGAGCUCCAAGUGCUCACUGCAGAAGAGGGCAGGGUUUCUCAGCCUCAGUGCCGUUGACAUUUAGGGCCGGAUAAUUCUUUGGAUAGGAUCUGUCUCGUGCAUUGUAGGAUGUUUUAGAAGGAUCCCUGGCCUCUACCCACUCAAUGCCAAUAGCACCUCACUGUAGAUAACCAAAAACGUCUGCAGACAUUGCCAAGCGUCCCCGGGAGGGCAAAAUCACAACAGUUGAGAGCCACUGGCUUCAAGCGUCAGUGUUUUGUCUGUUUUCAGGAUAAGGGCAGACUCUCCAGGUUGGGGCCUCAGAUUCAGGGACGCUUCAUCCCUCUCCACUGAUGGGCUACUGCUCCCGAGUACCACCCUGCACUCUAUCCACGCCUGUCAGAUAAACAACUCCCUAUUCUAGUUCUUGGUUUGCAUUUCCUUCCCAUCUUAAUUAUUUCCCUUUCUUAUCCCAUUCCUUUUCACCCUCAGGUAACAAGCCUUCCUCCAUGAGGCCUUCUUAGACUGUUCCAGACACUCCGACUUACCCAACUGAUGUCAUCCAUGAGUACAAAACACAUUUACCCACCAUCUGCCUUAACGAAAGGGGCAAAGGCUUUGACACAGUGUCUUCACUUGGGGAGACACCACAAUCCCCUGGUCAUCUUCUACAUUUCUGGCCAUCCUUUCUCAGCCUCCUUGGCCAGUUCUUCCUAGAGGAAUGUCCCCACUUUCACAGUUAAGUACCGUCUCUGUGCCAAUGACGUACAAUUUUUUUCUGUUUACACCUUGGGUCUCUUUCCUGAAUUCCAAACCUGUACCUACCACUUACCUAAUUUUGAUGCUUCGUGAUCUGUCUCACUGCACUGAACUGGCUUCAUUACAAGAAGAAUGACUUUGGUUACUGCUCUAUUAUCAGGGCCUAAAAUAAUGUCCAGCACAUGAGAGGAACUUAUACAUCACUGGGGCAGAGGGGGGGCGGUGAAUGAAGAGUGAAAAGUCAUGACUGAUCAGUGUUCUCAUGGAGACUUCACUGUCUCAGCCCAUGAACCUCAAAUUCUCAGAUGACCCCAAAGAGCACAAAGGACAGGCAGCAAGUUGACCCCCAAAUGCUCAUAGUUCAACAACUAAUAUAGUGAUAGAUGCAGCACACAGAAAGUGUCCUGGAGCAGAUGCCUGGAAUCUAAUGAUCAGAACCGAAUAACGACUGGGUCACUCAGGAAGGAGGUUUGUCAGUCUGGCACACAGUGAACGAAGAGGAUCAGAGGGCGGCUCUGUCACUACCCAACCAAGAACCGUCUGGGGCUCAGGUAAGGGGUCUCUCUCACAGAUAGGCCAGAAAAGUCAUUUUUGUAAUGUUCAUUUAUUUUUGAGAGAGACAGUGUGAGCGGGGGAGGGACAGAGAAAGAGGGAGACGCCGACUGUGAAGCAGGCUCCAGGCUCUGAGCUGUCAGCACAGAGGCCGACGCGGGGCUCAAACUCACAGAUCGCGAGAUCAUGACCUGAGCAGAAGUCGGACGCUUAACUGACAGAGCCACCCAGGUGCCCAUAGAGUUUUCCUCUAGGGAAGAGAAUGCGUUCUCCUGCGGCAUGAACUCUUAAUGAGUAGGAUGUUGGUGUUCUGACUCAUACAUGUGACUCUUAGGAGCCUGGUUAAUGUGAGUCUGUCCUCAAGAGGAUGUUUAGUUUCCAGACAUGCACAGGUGAAGAUAGGACCAUGGAAUGAGGCUAAAUUACCAAAGCAAAUGUCUCCUACUUCUCAGGUCUCCUGUCAGCCAUCUAGCAACAUCCACGUCUCUCUGCUCACCUUCGUUCUGUGAAAGCUCUGAUGCUGACAAAAGCUCCACCAUAUUUCAAUAAUAGACUCUGGCCAUGCUGAAAAGAUAGGCAGUCUUAUGCAUUUGAUUGUUUAGGCUUAGUAAGAUACCAGAUUUUAAAAGUAUAAAAUUCCAGGUUCACCUGUGGGAUUUUGAUACUGAUUUUCCCAACCUUAAUCUACACUACCUGGUUAUCCCCAGAUAUAGCAGGUGGGUGGCUAGAAUAUGCAGUAGGGUGGUGAACAUCCACCUACGUAGGGCUGUCAGGCUUUUAGUUGUCAGAUGAUCAUUCUGCUCCUGAAAAUGGAAAAUCUCUCAUUCACCUUCCUUUUCACAGGAGCAGCUUAAACCUGAACAUCAGAGUUGGAGAAUGGAAAGCAGUAAUUCUGGGACACAAACCGAUAACACUUUGUUCAGAGAAUCUGAGUCAUGAGGAAGGAAGGUGCCUGGUGCUACCAACACUGGGAAUACGCAGUCAGCUAUUCUCCAGAUUUAAUAUUCUAUGGUUUCUCCCCUACCCACUCAUCUCCUGAGUGGAUUCAUUCCAGAGUUAAUCACUAUUUAUGACAGCUUUAGGAAAUACUGAGGAGGGACAGUUUCUGGCAGAGUAGUGAAGAUCUUUACGAGAUCUUUAUCCUGACCCUCCCCCCCCCCCCAAAUAGGGGGAGAAAUAAAAGUGGAAAGAGAAAGAGACAGAGACUGGCAGAGAUUACUUGUUGGGAGGGUAGGGUAAAAUAAGUAAUUUAGAACAAUACCCUGAGCUGGGGAUUGUACUUCCCUAGGAGUAACUCAUUCUCUCAACCACCUGAUAAGUUUUUUCCAAAAAACACAACAGGUCUGGACACCUUCCCUGCAGUUUCUGACUUGGGAUAUGAGGGUGGCCUCAUUGAGCUGCGGUUCAUAAAGAGAUGCCCUGGAAACUACCAGAAGCAAUGAAGGCACUGGAAACUCGGAUGUUGCCGAGAAAACAGGGCAUGAGUGAAGAAAACCCAUCUCAAGCAAACAAUCCUCGACUUCACCCUGUGAAGACUAAUUGUUAGAGACGGAUGUAAACAAAAGAUUCUCUUUUGAGAGAUACACGCAAGAUAUUAAGCGUGACCACUUCCUACGCCGUACUUCUGUCUUGCUAGCUGCUGGGUUUUGCUAAGCCUUGACUUUUAACGAGCACUACUACAAGUGAGCAGUUACAUUUUAAAUGUUGUUGGCUUGUUCAAACCUUGCUGCACAAGUAUUAAUAAGAGGCAAAUUAAAAGGGGUUUUGAGACCAACUAUUGUAAGGUAAAUCGAGGUGAUGUGGCCUCUGAUGUGAUCGUUUUUAAGAACAAUCAGCUGGAUACGAGCAUGUGCAAAGCUACACAGACUCCUGUGUGCCUGAUCCGCCUGGCAGCAGUAUGGGAGCUGAGAUGUUGUUUGUGGCUUGGAAUUGAGUUUUCUCUUUUGCAAGAAGACACAUCUAAGGUACAUCCUCAUGAUGCCCCCAACCUCACCCCACCCAAAGGCAAGGUACAAAGCUUACCGUUAUGUGUAGAGAUAGAAACACACCCAGAACAGACCUGGUUGUAGGUAGUCUCACUGGUAGGGGCAGAAAUCCCUUAAACUGGACAAAAUCCAGGCUCUAGCUCAGUCCUGAGGCCACGGUCGAAACAUCAAGAAGCCUUAUUUCCUCACCCUAAAGUGAGGCAAACUUCUCUACCUCUUCCCUACACAUCCCAUGCAACUGGGUCAUGCCAACCAGGUAAAGGCAGUUCGUUGUCUUCCUAACUCGUUGUUCAAACCAUGCCUGGAUUCCUCUCGUCAUAAGUUCGUUGGGAAAAUUUACAAAAGCAAUGGAAACUCAUACCAAGAGUGAUGUUCAAAAUGCAGUCAUCCAAGGAUACUAUCAGGAUAAUUGAAUAGGGUCAAAUAUGACUCAUGACAUCAGAAGGAGACACCUGGAUGUUUCAGGGGUCUUAUUGUGGUAGGAGGGGGGCAAGUGAGGCCCCGCCAAUCCCAAUGCCAACUCAAGAGCACUACCUGAAGUCAUCCUGACUUUCCAGCAAUCUUCAGCGAUUCAGCGGGCACCACAGCCUCUGGCAGUGAAUCACCUUGCUAAACUUUCUGACUCAACCAAGGUGGACUUUGAGAUUUAGAACCAUGGGGGAGGGGGUGCUUCUGGAAGAGAAAUGAAUUUCCCUGGAGUCACAACUGUCUGCUGUUAGUAAUGACUGACUCCCUUUUGUGCCUUGUUGACUCCUCCAGCUGUCUGCUCCCCUCCCUGCCUCUAGCCAGCUGCUACCCCAAGUCUUGAAGUCACCGGGUAGAGAGGCAAGGGAGUCAAAAAAAAAAUCAACUUUUACCUGCUUGCCAUUGUGAGUUACCGAUGACAAGAUGGUUCUCAGUGUCUUGAAUCCCAUAGCAAUGUCAAGAAGAUGAGCAGCAAAAAAAAAGUUGUUAUAGUGUCCCAGAACGGACAUAGUCAUAUACCAGGCCAGGUAGAGGAAAGACUGAGAAGACAAACGAGAGGGAAGCAUAUCAGAAACCAGAAGGAGUGACUGUUGUCCAAAGCUACUCUGAUUUCAUUCCAUUAUAAUCACUUCAUUUACUUUACCUUCUUAAUCUAUUUAAUUCGAAUCAGUUAUAUUGGUUUAUGUAUUUUAUUGUUAUUUAGCUUGUCCUCAGAGGUUCAAUGUCUUUCUCUCCUUUAUAUCAGAUAGGCUGUUCUUAUGUAUCUUUCUAUAGAGAGAAUUUUACUGACCUAAUACUCGAUAGCAAGGUGUUUUCACCUUGGCACUACUGAGAGUUUAGACUGGAUAAUUCUCUGUUUUGGAGGCUGUCUGAUGCACCGUAGGAUGACCAGCAGCGACCCUGGUCUCCACUCACCAGAUGCCAGCCGUGACCACCAAAGAUGUCUCUAGACAUUGCCAAAAGUCACCUGGAGGACAAAAUUUCCCCCCUUGAGAGCCCUGCUCUACACUCAAAGAACCAACCAACUGUCCUUCCCUCUUUCGUUUUUCAUGUACUCACUCUCUAAAUCAGUGUUUGUGGAGACCUACUAGUUGUAAGAAAUUACGUGCAGUAUUUUAUUAACCAAGCAUCUCACUUUAUGUGAGCCAAAACAAAUCUAGGAGAAAAUGCAAAUACUACUUAAUGUCACCGAAGGCUAUAAUAAACCUAAUAAUACAAUUGGUACUAUCUGUAGGCAUCUUGUUUAUAAUCAAUGUAACAGAUUUGCUUUACAGAGGUUAGAUGUAUAAGUGUAUAUACUUUUUGAGGGGAGGAGAAUAAAAAAAGUAGAAUAAAAGAUACUGUGAUCAUGCUUGCUUUCUGGAUUAGGGUCCUUGGGCAUAAGAAGUGUUUUGCCAUUGGAGUCAAGAGCUACCCAUUUUGGGAAAGGGAGGAAACCUUCAUUUUGACUAGAAUAUAUCUUAAGCUUUGAGAACACAAGACAAAGGGGGCUGAGGUGGUAUAAAUCAUCUUUAUGGGCAGUUCAGGGCUGAGGUUAGACAUCGGGUGGAGGAAAGCAGUACUUGAAAAUAGACACCGAGAUAAGACUAUGCAGAAUGUGCUGAGGAGUGACAGCUUGGUUUGAGAGUGGGCUUCUGUUUCAGAAGAUGAGGUUGGAAAUGUACGGCGGGGUUGGAAGUCCUUCAAGCCAAGUUAAGAGAUAUGGGCACAUCCCACAGGCGCGGGAGAACCCCUGGAGCAUCAUACGGAAUAAUGUUAGUUUUGAGAGAGACAGCAGAAGUAGAGGAGGGGCAGAGAGAGAGAGAGAGAGAGAGAGAGAGACACAGCAUCUGAAGCAGGCUCCAGGCCCUGAGCUGUCAGUGCAGAGCCCAACGCGGGGCUUGAACUCAUCUGUACUUCAUCUGGUAAGCCUAGCUGUGUUUCAGACAGAAACCACACUAUUGAGGACUGAAGACAUGUUGAGAAGUAGCUGGCCAAACAGCCAUGAAACUACAGGUGGAUGAAUAAUAUAUCAGAAUAAUAUAACAGAAACAAGUCUGAAGAAGUCUGUCCAUGCCCAAAUGCCCUGGAGGCAAGAAAACUAGAGCAAGAUAUGUAUCCUGCAUGACACAAGUACUGCGGCAUAUAAGGAGGUCAAGGAGGAUUGACCUUAACUAGCAAAAGCCAAGAUGGCCGGGCUACCUGAACAGAAAACAUCAGUGCUAGAGAUGAGGUGGUUUCCUUUUAAUUUGAGGGAGCUGCUUCCAUUAUUAGAAGAGAAAUUUGCUGAAGGCACUAACAGUUGACAAUUCUAAAAGAUACUUACAAGACUUGUUUUUGAGAUCUUUGGAGAGUUCUCUAAAAGACCCAGUAUCCCAGUAUUCUGGGCCUAUGACUGGGUACGAUAGGGGUGGGGAUAGAGACAGGAGAAUUUGGGGGGUGUCGCAUGUCUUUAGGAGAACAGAAUUACCACUCACUGUAAAAGUCACUGCUAAUUAGAGUGUGAUUUUGAGACUGAGAUAUGCAAGGGAGACAAAACCAGAGGAGGGUCUAGGACUAAGCCUUUGGAUUUGCUUGUAAGUGCCCCUUCGCAGGAGGUGCGUGAGGAUGGUAGGAGGAUUCUGAACCAGCAGGAGGAGACAAACAUUUGUAGUUGAUCCAUUCAGCAGAGUUUCAUGACUGUCCCUAGCAAUUUCCCAUAGAGAGCACAUGGGAGCAUGAAAACAAUUGAUAAUAAUGAUUUUUUAAAGUGAAAAUUCUAAGAGUCAAAAAUGUCAAACUAUUGAGCAAGCCAGGGUAGUACAAUGUGAUCGUCCGACCUGACAGUUGGUGGCUUUUAGUAUCAAGUGAAUUUUUUUCAUUAUAUUUGGAUACAGACUUGGGCUAUGAGGCUCUUUGAGAAAAGAAGGAUCAAUCAAGAACAAAACCACAAUAAUUUAAUGCACUUAAUUUGGGGGAAACUUAAAUUUAUCACAAUUAAUGUUUUAAAACUUUAUUUAUUUAGAACUUCCGUUUUAACCUCUAGGAAACUUUGAACUCAUUACCCAACUAAAACCUAAAUGAAAAUACAUGUGAAUUUGCAUCUCAGUUUCUUUUUCUUGCAUAAAUAUAUUUUCAUGUUAAUCUUUCAGCUAUUGAAAGAAAUGGAUUGAGAGAUGGGGGCUAAUUAAUCACAUAUUUCCUUGGGUCAUUCUCAGAUAAUGGUCUGUAUUAAAUCAGUUGCUGUCUGACUGACUUCCUUAAAUCACUGACUGUCUGCCUGCCGGAUCCCAACAGACUUGUCUAAUCAGAGCGCACUGUACUUUGUGGUAAUGAAGUGGGCUUACGUUGUCCGUGAAGACGACUCCUAGUUUCCACAUCUGAUACUUCACAUCAAUAGAGUUCAGUCUGGAAAGACAAAUAAAGAAGGAUUUGUGGAUAUGCAUGUGAAACAAAGACUCGGAGGCUUGCAAGAGCCUGCUGGCAUUCUUUCCGUGGGAUGAAACUGGCAACCAUCUCAGGAAAUUAGUUCCAUCCAAAGUGUCAAGGGAAUCUGGAACAUCUGGAUGAUGUGUUCCAGAAUUCUGUAAUGCUUUUUUAGUGGGAUCUUGGAAAACAAAACAAAGAUGCAACUUCUAUUAUUUAAGAUUAGCACUUUCUUUUCCUGCAUUAAAUAUAAGGUAAAGCCACUUGUUAUGUGAGAAUGAUUUCUGGAAACUGUGCUACUACAUUAACCAACAUGUGUGCAUCCCAAGUUUCCUCGCUUUCAUUAUACAUUUGUAAUUGCAUUCUGACAGAAUAAUUUUUACUUAGGCUAAUAAAAACUUGCAUAAACAUCCACA